AGAGUUGAUCCUGGCUUAGGAUGAACGCUAGCUACAGGCUUAACACAUGCAAGUCGAGGGGCAGCGAGAAGGAAGCUGCUUCUUGUCGGCGACCGGCGCACGGGUGAGUAACGCGUAUCCAACCUUCCCCUUAGUAGGGCAUAGCCCGUAGAAAUGCGGAUUAAUACCCUAUGUUGUUCGAUGCGGACAUCUAAGUUGAACCAAAGGUUUACCGCUAAGGGAUGGGGAUGCGUCCGAUUAGGCAGCAGGCGGGGUAACGGCCCACCUGGCCAACGAUCGGUAGGGGUUCUGAGAGGAAGGUCCCCCACAUUGGAACUGAGACACGGUCCAAACUCCUACGGGAGGCAGCAGUGAGGAAUAUUGGUCAAUGGGCGCGAGCCUGAACCAGCCAAGUAGCGGUGCAGGACGACCGGCCCUAGUGGGUUAGUAAACUGUCUUUUAUGGCGGGAUAAAGUGACGUACGUGUACGUUUUGUAGGUACCGCAUGAAUAAGGACCGGCUAAUUCCGUGCCAGCAGCUGC
rnacentral:rRNA from 1 species